rnacentral:rRNA from 1 species
AAGAUGGCGACCGGCGCACGGUGAGUAACACGUAUCAACCUGCCCUUUACUCGGGGAUAGCCUUUCGAAAGAAAGAUUAAUACCGAUAGCAUAAUGAUUCCGCAUGGUUUCAUUAUUAAAGGAUUCCGGUAAAGGAUGGGGAUGCGUUCCAUUAGGUUGUUGGUGAGGUAACGGCUCACCAAGCCUUCGAUGGAUAGGGGUUCUGAGAGGAAGGUCCCCCACAUUGGAACUGAGACACGGUCCAA